rnacentral:misc_RNA from 1 species
CCGAACUCUCUUUUCUUUGAUACCCAUACCAAAGUCCAUGUAAAAUCAAAAGCAACUAAUUAAUUACAAGCAGUCAAUAUUUUAUUCAGUAUUUCAUAAGUUUACUAAAUUACUUGCAGCAAAGAAUAACCAUAAUAUGAGUUUCUUCCAGUAGUUCCAAUCAACAAAAGGAUAGUACAUGUUGCACCGUAAUGUUCUCUGUCUAUCCCAGCCCAUCAUCGUUGUUCUUCUUCUCUGUCUUCCAAAGAGUCCAGAACAUAAUGUCUACUUAUGUAUGCUCAUGCAAAAAUACAUGUAAAACACGCACACAUGAAAAUUUAAAAAGCAUCAAUAAGCUCAAGCAAUCAGAGGCAAAAUACAAGUGGCUUUGCUUUUCAAUCUGAACAAGCAAUGGAACUUUGCCCCUUAAUAAGACAAACAAAGCAAAAAAAAUAGUAGUCAAACCAGGCCUGGUUUACUCUUCUAUUAAAUAUCUUGCAAGCUAAAUAAUUCAAGGCUCAACUCAGCUGCAUAGAAGCUGGGCAACAUUAUUUCAUAACAACUUUCCUGGUAAUUAAGAUAUGAAUUUUUAAACUUAGACCUAACCUCAACUGUAUCCUACCCCUGACUAUCUGUAUUAAAGCCAAAAAAUGACAUUAUCAUCUGGCCAAUACCAAAGGAAAAACUGUAACUAAUCACAGUAGUAAGAAGCAAAUUUUUAAUGAAUACUAACAAGCCAAGAGGAUCAGAAAACAGAAUUUUGAAUAUUUCAGUCACAUAGAGAAAAUCUCCUAUUACAGGCCAGCUAAAUCAGUUGGUAAAAGUUCAAAGUCACCAUGUUGCCUUUUGUUGUUCCAAUCUUUAAUGCCAAAGAAAAUGAAUGCAAUUGACCUUCUACCAUAUCAAUCAUCUAGCAUUCUCAAACUGCUUCUAUUUCUAUGUAUCAAGUCAUUGUAUAUACUGGAUGAAGCAUUGCUGCUUAACAUUUUCUCUUCAAAUGACAUGAAUAACAAGGCAUGUACUGUGUAGGCGCACAAAGUAAAACAUCUAUGGUUUCGAAAUCUUCCCACUUCCUUUGUCAUUGUACUGCAGUCAUGUGGCAGGUGUAUUUGGUGGAUGAAAGGUGGACAUGCAGUGCCAACAAAAAAAAAAAAAAACUAUUUCUAGCCAGAUUUUGUUAAAAAAAAUUUUCUAGGGGUAUUUAGGGUAAUCUGGGUCAGAAAAUGAAAGUCUUUUGGCAUUUUGUAUGAGAUAGUUGAUCAACUAAAUCUGCUAAAAACAUACCGCAAAUUCUACUCAAAUGAGCUGCCAAUAAUGAAAAUACUAUUUGAAUGAAACACAUUUGAGUUACCAAGUAAAAGAUGGAACGGUAAAGAUAAUAUUUCAACAUUAGAACUCAAGAAAUCAGGAACUAAAACUUACAGUAUUUGAUAAGCUGUUCCUG